CCCUGCAAAUAUAAAAUAUUUGGUUUUUGUCUUUGGUAUAUUGUUUUAAUCCUUGUAAAAUCAUUUCAUAUUGAAAUUGGUCCCUAUAAUAUUCAUUUUAGUCCUCAUUUUGAAGGACUAAAAUCAAAUAUUCUACAUAUUACAAGUAUCAAAUCCAAUAUGAAUCAAUUUUACAAGGACCAUCCCAAAUUUUUUAUAUUUGCAGGGA
rnacentral:pre_miRNA from 1 species